AUCUUUUUAAUGCAGUUUCAGUGGAAUCAUUUCCAUGUCCUUGUUCUGCACAAUAUACAGUNUCGGACGUAAUCUAUUCAUCUAUGAUGAAGAAUUAAAAAAAAUAUGUUUGUUCGGCAAAUGUUGCAGGAAAAACUAUUGCCACAAAAUUUCAACGCAAAGAGGAAUGAAAACCAAUGCUGAAUUGCUGACCACAACAACAAUUCAACCAAAGAAACUGUAUAUUGUGCAGAACAAGGACAUGGAAAUGAUUCCACUGAAACUGCAUUAAAAAGAUUAAAGAAACUACCAAAUUAACAUUGCUUGUGCAAUAAAGUUAACAUAAGCACACAUUUAGUUAUACCCCCUCGAAACAAAAAUGCUCUGGAAUAAAGGUCUACACUUCUUCAACAUCUCUGUCCUUCUUUUUCUUCUUCUUCUCCUUCUUCUUCUCACUUCUAUCAGCCUCACUAUUAGUUCUGCCAUCAUCAAUAGUUGGAGCCUCCUCAGCCUCUUUGUCUUUCUUCUUCUUCUUCUUUUUCUUCUCAGACUUUUCUGUGUCGGGAGAACCAGCUUCGCCUUUAUCACUGUGUUCCUUUUUCUUAACCUUCUCAAUCUCCUUUUCCUCCAAAGUUUCUGCUUCAGGGUCUUCCUUACUCUUCUUUUUCUUCUUCUUUUUCUC
rnacentral:misc_RNA from 1 species